UACGUAGGGACCGAGCGUUGUCCGGAAUCAUUGGGCGUAAAGAGCGUGUAGGCGGCUAUUUAAGUCCUGCGUGAAAUCCUGCGGCUCAACCGCAGACGGUCGUGGGAAACUGGAUGGCUAGAGUGCGGGAGAGGAGAGUGGAAUUCCCGGUGUAGCGGUGAAAUGCGCAGUUAUCGGGAAGAACACCCGUGGCGAAGGCGGCUCUCUGGAACGCAACUGACGCUGAGACGCGAAAGCGUGGGGAGCAAACAGG
rnacentral:rRNA from 1 species